rnacentral:tRNA from 1 species
GACGGUAAAAAGUUUUGGUUGUGAUUUCUAAUCUCAAGCCAGGGAGGUUAACGUCUUCCUUUCGUCU